rnacentral:rRNA from 1 species
CUAACGGUCUUGUAAUUGGAAUGAGUGAAGUAUAAACCCCUUUACGAGUAUCAAUUGGAGGGCAAGUCUGGUGCCAGCAGCCGCGGUAAUUCCAGCUCCAAUAGCGUAUAUUAAAGUUGUUGCAGUUAAAAAGCUCGUAGUUGGAUUUCUGUUGUAUAAUUUAUAAUAUUACCAAGGUAAUUAUUAUAUUAUCAACAUCCUUCCUAUUAUAUUCUAAAUAUAUAGGAAAUUUUACUUUGAGAAAAUUAGAGUGCUUAAAGCAGG